AUGAGGUGGACUUGCGGCAGAACUCAAUAAGAUUCUCGUCCAUGUCUUCCUUAUAC
rnacentral:pre_miRNA from 1 species